rnacentral:rRNA from 1 species
GGCUUAUUGUUUAUUUAUAUUAAGUCUUACCUGCUCAAUGAUAUUUAUAUAUUAAAUAGCCGCAGUAUAUUGACUGUGCAAAGGUAGCAUAAUCAUUUGUCUUUUAAUUGGGGACUUGUAUGAAUGGUUUGAUGAAAUAUUAACUUUCUUUAUAUAAAAUUGGAUAAUUUAAUAUUUUAGUUAAAAAGCUAAAAUAAUUUUAAGGGACGAGAAGACCCUAUAGAAUUUUAUAUUUCUAAAUUUAAUUUGUAUUUGGGUAUUCUUUUACUUUAUUUUUAGAAAUAUUUUGUUGGGGUGACAGGGAAAUUUAUUUAACUUUCUUUAUUUAAUUUUUAUUGAUUUAUAUUUUUAUGAUCCUAUUUUAAGGAUAUUAAGAUUAAAUUACCUUAGGGAUAACAGCGUAAUUUCUUUGGAGAGUUCUUAUCGAUAAAGUAGUUUGCGACCUCGAUGUUGGAUUAAAAUUAGUAUUAGGUGUAGGUGCUUAAUUAACUAGGUCUGUUCGACCUUUAAAAUUUUACA